ACAUAGAAAUGUCAUCAGUUUCUUUCAGGUGGAUGUGACCAUGGAGGAGCCCGAAUGGAGGAGGAGCUUUGAUACCAGAUUUCCUCCAUCCUGGCUCCCUUCCUGUGAAGAUGUUGGAGGAAGAUCAGUUAGAGCGGGAAGAAUGUGGGAGAAAUCAGCUGGAUGUGUGGAAGAUGUUCCUGCUGUACAUACAUACGCAGACGCCGCAUUAAGCGGGGCGGCCCGUUGCUGUGACACAUCAGCACAUCCGCCAUAUUGGAUGUGGCAGAUCUGCUCUGUAAACUAAUCCAAGUAAAUGGACUGAACUUCAUGAAGCGCCUUUCUGCAAAGUUCUAUGCAGAGUCGUGUUUCCCAGGCUGCCCCUGAACACAUCCUAAAGCCUUCAGCCUGCAGCAGACAGAUGGAGGUGUGCUGCUGUUCCUGUGAAAGAAGAUGCUGUUACUGCUGCUCCACAGACACAAACAGAUUUGGAUGGAGGACUUUAUGGAGCCAGAGCUUUUUGUUCGACAUGUGAAACUGUGACAUUUCCUAAAAACUGGACUAACAGAUGAAGCAGAGAUUUAAGUCCAGAGAUGCAAACAGAAGGUGAAGCAGUUUCUUACUCGGUGAGUCAAACUCAGUUCUCAGUGGUUCCCACACAUUUACACUCUUUCUGUGGGGUGGCUGGAUAUAUGAGGAUGUUUAUAACUCAAAACAUGAAUUGAAGACAGUCUUUGCUUAGUUUGGUUCGUGUAAAUAAUGAUUUUGAGCUUAAUUGCCUAAAACUGAUGUCUGAACUGUUGUUAAAGUGUUUUAGAUGAAUAAAGUUUUUGCCAGAGUUUAUGAGCAUUUCCUUUCUGAAGUCAUUGUUCAGUGAACAUCACACUGAUGGGCUGCAACAAGCUCACUUUUUA